GAUAAGAACGUAGCGAAAUGCGAUAAGUAGUGUGAAUUGCAGAAUUCAGUGAAUCAUCGAAUCUUUGAACGCACAUUGCGCCCCUUGGUAUUCCAUGGGGCAUGCCUGUUCGAGCGUCAUUUGUACCUUCAAGCCUUGCUUGGUGUUGGGUGUUUGUCUCGCCUCUGCGCGCAGACUCGCCUCAAAACAAUUGGCAGCCGGCGUAUUGAUUUCGGAGCGCAGUACAUCUCGCGCUUUGCACUCAGAACGACGACGUCCAAAAGUACAUUUUUACACUCUUGACCUCGGAUCAGGUAGGGAUACCCGCUGAACUUAAGCAUAUCAAUAAGCGGAGGA
rnacentral:misc_RNA from 1 species